rnacentral:rRNA from 1 species
GAUGAACGCUGGCGGCGUGCCUAAUACAUGCAAGUCGAACGCUUCACUUCGGUGAAGAGUGGCGAACGGGUGAGUAAUACAUAAGUAACCUGGCAUCUACAGGGGGAUAACUGAUGGAAACGUCAGCUAAGACCGCAAAGGUGUAGAGAUCGCAUGAACUCUAUAUGAAAAGUGCUACGGGACUGGUAGAUGAUGGACUUAUGGCGCAUUAGCUUGUUGGUAGGGUAACGGCCUACCAAGGCGACGAUGCGUAGCCGACCUGAGAGGGUGACCGGCCACACUGGGACUGAGACACGGCCCAGACCCCUACGGGAGGCAGCAGUAGGGAAUUUUCGGCAAUGGGGGAAACCCUGACCGAGCAACGCCGCGUGAAGGAAGAAGUAAUUCGUUAUGUAAACUUCUGUCAUAGAGGAAGAACGGUGGAUAUAGGGAAUGAUAUCCAAGUGACGGUACUCUAUAAGAAAGCCACGGCUAACUACGUG